rnacentral:rRNA from 1 species
GGGCCCGCACAAGCAGUGGAGCAUGUGGUUUAAUUCGAUGCAACGCGAAGAACCUUACCAGGCCUUGACAUCCUGCGAAUCUCUUGGAAACGAGAGAGUGCCUUCGGGAACGCAGUGACAGGUGGUGCAUGGCUGUCGUCAGCUCGUGUCGUGAGAUGUUGGGUUAAGUCCCGCAACGAGCGCAACCCACGUCUUUAGUUGCCAGCAUUUAGUUGGGCACUCUAGAGAGACUGCCGGUGAUAAACCGGAGGAAGGUGUGGAUGACGUCAAGUCAUCAUGCCCCUUACAUCCUGGGCUACACACGUACUACAAUGCUACGGACAAAGGGCAGCAAGUUCGCGAGGACAAGCAAA